UUCUUUAAUUUUUACUUUUUGUUGGUAAGUUGAGCUGGUUCUUACGAAGGACGUUACCUUAGAUAGGAGGGUUUGGUGAUUAGGAUAGAAGGUUAGUUGGUAGUCGAGACUUACUUGUUUAUCAAUAAUAUUAGCAAUGUUUUCAUAUUUUCUAGUCCUUUGAUUUCAAUUAUCACCUGUGCCUUUUUGUGCUUUAUUUCGCAUUAUUUAGUUGUUGUUACUGCUUUUUUCCCCCUAUAUACCCUUUUUCGAACUGUUUUAUGCUUUCUAAGCCGAGGGUCUAUCAGAAAUAAUCACUCUAUCUCCACGAGGCAGCGGUUAGGUUUGCGUAUACUCUAUCCUCUCCAUUAGGUUUGAUAUUUUCCGGGAGGCUUCUUAGUUUCUUAUUAUAGUUACACUUAUAUGUCCAUGUAGAAAUAAUAAGUGUGAGAUUUAGAAACUCUUUAAUUUCAGAGAACUAUCAAUUUACUUUAAAGUACAAAUCAUCUAGUAUCGGGAAUGAAAUGAGUUUUUAUUGAGCACAAUGAAUACAUAGGAAUAAUAUGACUGACUCUAAGUUGGGAUGGCAGCAUAUGUCAGUUACUGAUUGAUUGACUAUCAUAAUAUUCUAUUUCGAUUCUGUAUCAGUGAAUUAUUUGUAUUGAUUCCUUUUUGGAUCACCUACUCCGGUUCUGUAUCAGCGCAUAUGUCAGUUAUCGAUUGAUUGACUAUCAUAAUGUUCUAUUCCAAUUCUAUGUCAGCGGAUUAUUUGUAUUGAUUCUUUGUUGGAUCACCUACUCUGAUUUUGGUGGUGAUAACUCAACUUUUUUGAUAACUGUGGUGUCCAGGCUAGCUUUCGCGCAUCUCAACUAAUUCCAUGAGAUACCUGCCACCUCCCACUAGCAAUAGGUACUCUGUAACUCUAUCCAGCAAGGCGGACAACUCUGUCCACCAUUGCUAGAAUAGACGGGAAGAAAUCACCUAGUGUUUUGUCUGUGCUGGGAUCUGAACCUUGGACCCUCAUAGUGCUCAGCCCGAACACUUGGCUACACCCUUGGGUUCGGGGUGUAGUGUGACAUGCAGCUCUUUUUGAGUAGGAAUGUUCAUCUAAUACAGGGUUAUUCCUUCCUGUCAUGCUCAAGAUUGUCCCUUUUUUCAUAUGGUGUUGGGUGGACCUCCAGAGAACUUUUGCUGAUAGUCCAUUCUGGAGUUCUAUUACAACAACAUACCCAGUUUAGUCCCACAUGGGGGCUUCCCAUGACGGUAGUGUGUAUGCAAAUCUUACCCCUACCUUGGAAGGUGGAGAGUCUGUUUCUGAUAGAAAAUAUCAGGAGUGAAGAAAACAAAACAAAAUACUACACAAGGCAUGACAAAGCAUACUGAAUAAGGAACAGGAACUACAACAAAAUAAUAUGAUAAACGAAUUACAAGGGAAAAUAUAUAGUAAUAGAAAUCAAAGGAACAAGAACCUACAAGAGUAGUAAUAUGAGCACUAAUAUGAAAAGAUAAGUGAGAGUGUGAGACUACCUACUAACGUUAUACCCUAAUCCGUAUCUUCCAUAAUCUGCUGUCUACGGUCUUGUCAUCGUAAGCUGAAGUUGCACUUCGUUCUAUUGCCUUUUACCAAAA